GAUGAACGCUGGCGGCGUGCCUAAUACAUGCAAGUCGAGCGAACCACUUCGGUGGUGAGCGGCGAACGGGUGAGUAACACGUAGGUGAUCUGCCCAGUCAGACGGGGGACAACGAUUGGAAACGAUCGCUAAUACCGGAUAGGACGAAAGUUUAAAGGUGCUUCUGGCACCGCUGAUGGAUGAGCCUGCGGCGCAUUAGCUAGUUGGUAGGGUAAAGGCCUACCAAGGCGACGAUGCGUAGCCGACCUGAGAGGGUGAACGGCCACACUGGGACUGAGACACGGCCCAGACUCCUACGGGAGGCAGCAGUAGGGAAUCUUCGGCAAUGGGCGAAAGCCUGACCGAGCAACGCCGCGUGAAUGAUGAAGGCCUUCGGUUGUAAAAUUCUGUUAUAAGGGAAGAACGACUUUUAGUAGGAAUAGGCUAGAGUGUGACGGUACCUUAUGAGAAAGCCACGGCUAACUACGUGCCAGCAGCCGCGGUAAAAGUCACGUACG
rnacentral:rRNA from 1 species